rnacentral:rRNA from 1 species
AGAUUAAGCUACUAAGAGCAUACGGGGGAUGCCUUGGGCAUCAGAAGCCGAUGAAGGACGUGUAGCACUGCGAUAAGCUGCGGGUAGGCGUGCUAGGCCUUUGAUCCGCAGAUCUCCGAAUGGGGAAACCUGCACCGAUGAAAGCCGGUGCCGCCUGCGCUGAACACAUAGGCGCAGAGCAGGGAACCCGGGGAACUGAAACAUCUAAGUACCCGGAGGAAAAGAGAUUAUUCCGUUAGUAGUGGCGAACGAACGCGGAGGAGCCCAAACCGGUGGCGCUUCGGUGCCGCCGGGGUUGUAGGACCUGGCGUUGUGGGGCCGAUAGGUAGUGGAACCGCACUGGAAAGGCGGACCAGAGAGGGUGAAAGUCCCGUACACGAAACCGAACCCGGUUCCGGCCAGGCACCUGAGUAGCGCGGGACACGUGCAAUCCUGCGUGAAUCCGGGAAGACCACUUUCCAAGGCUAAAUACUUCUGAUGACCGAUAGUGUACAAGUACCGUGAGGGAAAGGUGAAAAGUACCCCUAAUGGGGAGUGAAAUAGUACCUGAAACCGUAUGCUUACAAUCAGUCAGAGCCUGAUACUGCCCGUAGCGCAAGCGAAAGGUGGUCGGGUGAUGGCGUGCCUUUUGGAGAAUGAGCCAACGAGUUAAUUUCUGUAGCGAGGUUAAGGCAGUCACAGCCGGAGCCGGAGCGAAAGCGAGUCUUAACAGGGCGCCACAGUUGCAGGGAUUAGACCCGAAACCAGGUGAGCUAUCCAUGGCCAGGUUGAAGCGGGAGUAAUGUCUCGUGGAGGACCGAACCGUUGUAUGUUGCAAAAUGCUCGGAUGAGCUGUGGAUAGGGGUGAAAUGCCAAACGAACCUGGAGAUAGCUGGUUCUCGCCGAAAUAGCUUUAGGGCUAGCGUCGUUUGCUGAGCGCAGGAGGUAGAGCACUGGAUGAGGUAGGGGGCGAAAUGCUUACCGAACUCAACCAAACUCCGAAUGCCUGUGCUUUAGAACGGCAGUUGGACUACGGGAGAUGAGUUUCGUGGUCAAGAGGGGAAAAGCCCAGACCGUCAGCUAAGGUCCUCAAGUGGAGACUAAGUGGGAAAGGAAGUGGUGUUACAGAGACAGCCAGGAGGUUGGCUUGGAAGCAGCCAUCCUUGAAAGAGUGCGUAACAGCUCACUGGUCAAGUGAUACUGCGCCGAAAAUAUAACGGGGCUUAAGUCACCCGCCGAAGCUACGGUUUUGCAGAUGUCUGCGGACAUGUGCGGGAGGUAGGCGAGCGUUGCAUGCGCAUUGAAGCGAUACCGAGAGGAGUCGUGGAGUGCAUGGAAGCGAGAAUGUUGGCACGAGUAGCGAGAGCUGUGUGAGAACCGCAGUCCCCGGAAGUCUAAGGUUUCCGACGGGAGGUCAAUCCGCGUCGGGUUAGUCGGACCUAAGGCGAGGCCGAAAGGCGUAGUCGAUGGGAAACAGGUGAAUAUUCCUGUACCGCAUCAGGUUGUUAGAGCGAGGGGGUGACGCAGAAGGGUAGGUCAGCCAGCGGCUGGAAGAGCUGGUGCCAAGCCUGUAGGUGAUGAGGACGGGGUUAAAAGACCGUCUGAGCUGAGGGGUGAAGGCGAGCCUGAAUCAGGUGGAAGUGAUUGAACCCAAGCUGACGAGAAAAGCCUCUAGUGAGACCUAUGCGACCGUACCGCAAACCGACACAGGUAGACAGGUGGAGAACACCAAGGGGGACGGGAGAACCUUCGUCAAGGAACUAGGCAAAAAGGGUCCGUAACUUCGGGAGAAGGACCGCCUCGGUAGAGUGAGGGUACAGACGUGCCUGAGCUUGAGGAGGCCGCAGAGAAGAGGCCCUGCCGACUGUUUAGCAAAAACACAGGUCCGUGCGAAGUUGAGAGACGACGUAUACGGGCUGACGCCUGCCCAGUGCCGGAAGGUUAAGGGGAGAGGUGAGAGCUUUGAACUGAAGCCCCGGUGAACGGCGGCCGUAACUAUAACGGUCCUAAGGUAGCGAAAUUCCUUGUCGGGUAAGUUCCGACCCGCACGAAAGGCGUAACGAAUGGGGCACUGUCUCAACGGAGGACCCGGUGAAACUGAACUAGGAGUGAAGAUGCUCCUUUCCCGCAGCAGGACAAAAAGACCCCGUGGAGCUUUACUACAGCUUGACAUUGGGUUAGGGCUUAGUCUGUGUAGGAUAGGUGGGAGACUGUGAACCUGGUUCGUCAGGAUCGGGGGAGUCGCCGGUGAAAUACCACCCUGGCUAUGUCUUGGCUCUAACCUUGACCGUUAUCCGGUUAGGGGACAGUGUCUGGUGGGUAGUUUGACUGGGGCGGUCGCCUCCCAAAGAGUAACGGAGGCGCGCAAAGGUUCCCUCAGGCUGAAUGGAAACCAGUCGAAGAGUGCAAACGCAUAAGGGAGCUUGACUGUGAGACCUACAAGUCGAACAGAGACGAAAGUCGGCGUUAGUGAGCUUUCGGUUCCAAGUGGAAGGGCCGGAACUUAACGGAUAAAAGCUACCCCGGGGAUAACAGGCUAGUCUCCCCCAAUAGUUCACAUAGACGGGGAGGUUCGGCACCUCGAUGUCGGCUCGUCACAUCCUGGGGCAGGAGCAUGUCCCAAGGGUUGGGUCGUCCACCCAUUAAAGUGGCACGCGAGCUGGGUUCAGACCGUUGUGAAACAGGUCGGUCUCUAUCCGCUGUGGGCGUAAGGGAAUUGAGGAGAGCUGCCCCUAGUACGAGAGGACCGGGGUGGACGGACCAAUGGUGUUCCAGUUGUCGUGCCAACGGCAUAGCUGGGUAGCUACGUCCGGGAUGGAUAACCGCUGAAAGCAUCUAAGUGGGAAGCCAGCUCCAAGAUGAGUUCCCUCGCUAGGGUCAAACCUAGGUAAGUGCGCUGGAAGACGACCAGUUUGAUAGGCAGGGCGUGUAAGGGCAGAGAUGUCUUCAGCUAACCUGUACUAACGCACGAGGGCUUAAUC